rnacentral:lncRNA from 9 species
CCCCUUCUUGAGUGGCCUCACACCAACUGUACUCCCUGUAGCGGGGUUCACGCCGCAGUACUCCCGAGCGGCUUAGACCGUCUUGGCGGAUUGCGUCAGAGGAUGCCUCUUUUCCUCGGACAUUGUUAAAAAGCAUCACCACCUAGGCUCCUAGGGACACAAGCAUAAAAAUAAAGCGUAACAAUCGGUUAUGCUGGCCAAGAAGCAGCCUAAUCUGUCAAAAAUAUAAAUCAAAUUAUAAAUAAGCAAGACAUUUGAUUUGGAUAGAAUUUCAAAUAAGAGCCGUAGCACAUUUUCUGUUAGUAUUUAGAUGCGUUUGACUCCUUAGGGCCUAUAAUCGUUAUGUCUUUGAAAAUGUUUAUGAUCGUGAACUACCCUAAGGGAUUUCUAGGUUGUGAAACCAGUCUUCUGUUAGUUAAAUACAGUACAAUAUUGUAAAUACAAUACAAUAUUGGGCCCUAGUCGUGAAUUUAACACUGUGCUUAAAUUCUCUUCUCACAAUCCAGUUUAUCAGCCCAACUAGAAAAAAACCUCAUAUGCACGGGAUGAAUUCUCUGUUGUCUCUAGUACAGCCUGCUCUCCACCACCACCAUCAGAAUGUGGAAGCCUUAAUCUUUGGCCUAUGUGGUGCAUUGAAAGUUGAAAGAGAACAGGAAGAGACUUCAUAUCUGAAAGGACAAAGACGAUAGGAAUAAAAAUGGAGUUGGAAGUCUGGAACACUAAGGCAAACUCCCUCAUUCUACUGGGUUUUGUUUUGGUUUUUGUUUGUUUGUUUGUUUGUCAUUUUAAGCUGAACAACAUCUGAAAUGUUUUGUUAUUUGGGGAAAUUAAAGUUGAGGAAUAUUUGGAGUCACAUCUUCCCACUACCUGAGAAUUGUAAAAUUGGGAACCCAGCAGUAGUAGUAAGAAGCAGACAAAAGAGGAAAUGGGGCCAAAAGUGGUUCCCUAAGUAGUAGACUGCCUGGGAACCAGUGAUUGGUUAUCAUUUCUGCUGCCUCCUCUGUUGCUCUCCUUCCCAAGGUUUUGAAUUGAUUCCUUUUUUUUUUUUUUUUUUGAAUUGUGAUAAAACAUGCUUUGAUACUUUGAGCUAGCUGAUACCUUUCAAUAAAUUUCUAUUCUGAGUGAGUUAACCAGAGUCGGUUUCUGUUGUUCACAAACAACCCUUAACUUCUUGCUCUGUUUGAGUAAAGGCCUAUUUAUGAAGACAUUUUCCCAAAUAGUCUGGCAUUUUUCCAUAUCUGUAAAUGGUUCCGCUUGCCUAACCAGAGUUGGUUUCUGUUGCUCACAAACAAGAACCCUUAACUUCUUGCUCUGUUUUGAGUAAAGGCCUAUUUACAAAGACAUUUUCCCAAAUGGUCUGGCUUUUUUCCAUAUCUGUAAGUGGUUCCUCUUGCCUAAUCGGUUUCACUUCCUACUAUUGAACACAAGUUGACUAUUUUUUCCCCUCCUCUUUCUGUCCUACUUUGCCUGCUAAGAAUGCAG